ACUUAUAUUCUGUAGCAAGGUUAACCGAAUAGGGGAGCCGAAGGGAAACCGAGUCUUAACUGGGCGUUAAGUUGCAGGGUAUAGACCCGAAACCCGGUGCUCUAGCCAUGGGCGGGUUGA
rnacentral:rRNA from 1 species